rnacentral:rRNA from 1 species
CAAUAUGACGAAAGCAUGAUCCAGCGAUAUCGCGUAGAGGAUGAAGAAGUUCUCGUAAACUUUUAAUUCAUAUUAUGAGAAUAUCUGCCCCUAAAUAUGACUAUAGAUUACUAACUCUUUGAGUGAGGUUUUUGUAAAAUACAAAAUAUCUAACUAACUUUGGUUUAUGGAAACAGUUUAGGGAUUGGGAAAAGGGUGACUUAUAUUAUACAGUAAUAAUAUAAUACGAACUAAAAGAUUUUAUAUCUUAUUUUCCGACGAAAGGUUUCUAGGCGACUUAAUAUGAAAAGCUCCGACUAAUUUCGUGCCAGCAGUCGCGGUAAAACGGGGGGAGCUAGUGUUAUUCGGAAUGAUUGGGCGUAAAGGGUACGUAGGUGGUAUAUUCAAACAUAUAUAUAAUUUUAACAGGUGAACCUUUUUAAAAUAUAUAUUUUAUUAUUAUACUUGAGUGUAGGGC